UGGGGAAUUUUGGACAAUGGGCGCAAGCCUGAUCCAGCCAUGCCGCGUGCGGGAAGAAGGCCUUCGGGUUGUAAACCGCUUUUGUCAGGGAAGAAAUCUUCUGAGUUAAUACCUCGGGAGGAUGACGGUACCUGAAGAAUAAGCACCGGCUAACUACGUGCCAGCAGCCGCGGUAAUACGUAGGGUGCAAGCGUUAAUCGGAAUUACUGGGCGUAAAGCGUGCGCAGGCGGUUUUGUAAGACAGAGGUGAAAUCCCCGGGCUCAACCUGGGAACUGCCUUUGUGACUGCAAGGCUUGAGUGCGGCAGAGGGGGAUGGAAUUCCGCGUGUAGCAGUGAAAUGCGUAGAUAUGCGGAGGAACACCGAUGGCGAAGGCAAUCCCCUGGGCCUGCACUGACGCUCAUGCACGAAAGCGUGGGGAGCAAAACAGGAUUAGAUACCCUGGUAGUCCACGCCCUAAACGAUGUUAACUGGUUGUUGGGAAGGUUCCUUCUCAGUAACGUAGCUAACGCGUGAAGUUGACCGCCUGGGGAGUACGGCCGCAAGGUUGAAACUCAAAGGAAUUGACGGGGUCAUAGCUGUUUCC
rnacentral:rRNA from 1 species